rnacentral:rRNA from 1 species
UACGGAGGGGACUAGCGUUGUUCGGAAUUACUGGGCGUAAAGCGCACGUAGGCGGAUUUGUAAGUCAGGGGUGAAAUCCCCGGGCUUAACCUGGGAACUGCGUUUGAAACUGGAAGGCUAGAGUGUGGCAGAGGGGGGUGGAAUUCCACGUGUAGCAGUGAAAUGCGUAGAUAUGUGGAGGAACACCGAUGGCGAAGGCAGCCCCCUGGGCUAACACUGACGCCUCAUGCACGAAAGCGUGGGGAGCAAACAGG